rnacentral:rRNA from 1 species
GCCUACAACCAAAUUGCCACGAAUAUAUUGAGUAAUAGUGUAAGACCUCAGAAGCUAAGCAGGUUCAAGUCUGGUUAGUGCUUGGCGAGGUGACUGCCAGUGAAUACCAGGUGCUAUAGGAU